GACGAACGCUGGCGGCGUGCCUAAUACAUGCAAGUAGAACGCAGUUGCGAACGGGUGAGUAACGCGUAGGUAACUGCCUCAUAGCGGGGGAUAACUAUUGGAAACGAUAGCUAAUACCGCAUACUUUGAGAUGGACCUGCGUUGUAUUAGCUAGUUGGUGAGGUAAAGGCUCAACAAGGCGACGAUACAUAGCCGACCUGAGAGGGGGAGCGGACAAACUGGGACUUGGGCACGGCCCAGAACACUACGGGAGGGAGCAGUAGGGAACCUUCGGCAAUGGACGGAAGUCUGAACGAGCCACGACGGGUGAGUGAAGAAGGUUUUCGGGUCGUAAAGCUCUGUUGUUAGAGAAGCGGUAACUAAAGAGAAAGCGACGGCUAACUACGUGCCAGCAGCCGCGGUAAUAC
rnacentral:rRNA from 1 species